UUCAUUCAGUUGUUUGUUACACGUUGUACAAGUGAAAACCUUCUUUAUUUUCAUUCCACCACAAUGAUGAAAAGUAUUUCCAUUCUCUUAAUCAUCUCGGCCAGCGUACAGUGCGCUGUACUUCCAAACCAACUAGAAGCAAAACGCGUACCCGAGGAUAAAAUUAUUACCUCUAAAAAAGCAAGCGCUUUUCCAGUAGCUGACCUAGAAAUCGGUGAUGUACAGGAACACUGGAUAAACGGAACUAACGGCGUUAUAGAUUGCGAUGGGAAAGAGGUUGUUCCGAAUGAUGAAAUUUUCAAAGCUGGCAGAGUGGAGAUACUUAUCAGUCAGGAUGAAAUUCGCAUCAAUAAUAACAGGAUUCUUCGGAGAGAAAGCACUAAUCCAUCGUAUCAUAUCACAAAUACUACACUCUUCUCUAAUACGAGUUGGUUUAUACUUGCGAUAUAUGAAAGUGGUAAAAUUUUCUUUCAAGAUGAAAAAACGAGUUUUGUGAUUCCUGUCACGGGAGUUUCACUUACUCGUAUAUCUAAGUAACCCUGAAUAAAUUCGAAUGUUGGUAAUAUAUGUACUUAUGUUUUGAAUGCUUUCAAAUUGAUAAAUAAAUUAAUGUUGUCACUUA